rnacentral:lncRNA from 1 species
UUUGAUAACUAGGACUUUGACAUUUUGAUAGUUUAUGGUAUUAUUUUACAAAGGAUGAGAUGUCCGCACAACCUUUCAUCAGUGAACUUCCUAAGAAGCUAAUUUAAGAAGUAAAAAUGCUGCAGCUAGUGCCUACCUCUCCAGGAGAGACAGACAGUCCACUCGCUCCUCAUUGGGCUUGAAAUUCCAGAUAAAACUACGUGCAGUGCUUCUCUACGUGGCCGCAUACUGAAAUCACCUGGUGAGAUUUAAAAAGACU